rnacentral:lncRNA from 1 species
GACCAGAGAGGAGGAUACAGAGCUGAGAGAUGGAUCGGCCUUCCCCGUGGAGCACUCUGAGACAUGUCAUAGCUCAUUGACAUCUCGCAAUACAGGUCAAAAAGGUACAUCCCAGCCUUCUUGCACAUAGAAACACUACACAGCACUUCAGCUGUAUGUUUGGGGGCCAUUUUAAACAGCAAAAUCAUCAACAGGAAGCAGAAAAUUGUAAAAAUUGUGGCACUAAAUAGACCAUGUAAAGGACACAUGUUUGCAAUAAGAAAGCUGAAACAAGAAGGGGGAGUGUCACCUUAUUUGAUCCAGCUAGAAACUCAGGUGCUGGUAUUCCAGCAACACUCAGGCGGCUGCUCCAGGAGGCUGCAGAGGGGUCCUUUUUAGCCGUCAACAAAACUGGCUAUGGUCACGCCCAUUGGGAAACUCAUUGCUGCCUUCAAGUUAGGUUCUGUCAAUAGAAGAUACUAAAGAAAGAAAGCCAGGAGAAGAAAAGGGACUUCUUUCUUCAAGGUCUAAGCUGUUCUAAUAGCAUUAUUCUGGGAAUGGCAUCUUCCACUCCUCCUAGUACAAAGAACCUGCUUCCUCAUACCCCGUCAAGGAACUGCAGCAUCCAGGUGAUGGCCACAGUGGCAGAACCUAGGAAGCCAAGAAGAAACCAGAGAAUGGAGACACAUGGCAGCAAUGGCAAGUCAUCAGACCCAGGAUUUCCCAAAGAACACUGGUCCAGGAAGAUGCUCUGUGAAAAAGUGUUCCCUGGUCGGAGAAAUUUGUGAAACACUUUGCAUAAUACUUAAAAGAAUGUAUGGCACAUCAAAGGUAAUAUGCAAUAAAAGAAUUCAUUUUUUUAAAA